rnacentral:rRNA from 1 species
UACGAAGGGGGCUAGCGUUGUUCGGAAUUACUGGGCGUAAAGCGCGCGCAGGCGGUCUUCCAAGUCAGUGGUGAAAGCCCGGAGUUCAACUCCGGAACUGCCAUUGAAACUGUUGGACUUGAGUACGAGAGAGGUGAGUGGAAUUCCCAGUGUAGAGGUGAAAUUCGUAGAUAUUGGGAAGAACACCGGUGGCGAAGGCGGCUCACUGGCUCGUAACUGACGCUCAGGCGCGACAGCGUGGGGAUCAAACAGG